GGAAGAACGAAGAAUUAUUCUUUCAGUAAAAAAAAGUAUUUUAAAAUAUUUUUUGUGCAAAGAUAAAUGUCGGGGAAAAUAAUUGAACCAUGUUGGAAAAAGAUGCAAAUUUAUCACAUAGAAUCGUGUUGUAUGGAAGGAGGGCCAAAUGCAUCAACAACACCAUCCGCAACAGCAUUAUCACACCAGCAUCAACAACAACUAGGUACGUAAUUUCUUUGCAAUUUUAUGCUUACGCUGAGGACUGCUCCAAGACAAUUACCUAGAUGAAAACAUCCAAAAGCCUUGUUUCAUUUUCAGAACUCCUGAUGAGGAUUAAAUUAAAGCUAUCCAUCUAAUCAUCGACGAAAAAGAAAUUGUAUU